ensembl:lncRNA
UGCUAAGAAAUCCACAUGGCUGAUGUGCUCAAGUGCCCGUGUCAUGACUUCAGGGGAAAAACAAACAAAUAAAACAAACAACAACAAGAAGAAAGCUAAAUCUACCUAAGCUGAAGUGGCAGUAGAAAAGAUCUUGCCUGUGGAAGGAAAGGAAGCAGUGCUGUCUUCCAGUUAAUAACCACACUUGUGUUUACAAGACAACUGCUUUUACAAAACUGAAGAUCAUCAGAUGGGAACACUAACAACUUCAAUUUUAAAGUCCACUUCUGACCUAACAAGAAGCGUGGGAUACUUCAUUACAGAGGAUAUUCUACUGAAAUAUGAAACACACAUGAAAUCAUGAGCACUUAAGGAAAGAGCUUUGUGGCCACAGCUAUCAUAUGAUAUUAAAACUGCAGCAUGACAGUAGUUGUUGUAAAUAAAUACAUAUUACAACAAGUAAAAAAAAGUGCAAUUACAAUUUCACAAUAUUUAUUUCUGCGAUCAAAUUUACAUACGAACUGCAAAGUAUGAGAAAUAUGAACCUUUGCAUAUACUCCCACAGACUGUGCAGAUAUAUCCACACAUUUAUGUGUACAGUUAUUAUAUUAAAAGACUGUUACACUUAUAAAAUAUUUUAGAGAAUAAUUUAUGUGGACAGGUUUAGAUAUUCAUUCUUACUCAGAAUGAUAAGCAAGCAGGCUGAAUAUAUUUGAAAAUGUAGUAAAUCAAGUUUUGGUCUUGCUAACACUAAUACACAUUCAUUUAGAUAAAUCUGAUGAGAAUUUUACCCAACCAAUAUAUCUUUAAAAGCUAAUCAAGUGAAUCUCUUUAAUAGCAUCAAGCCUCAUUUGGAAAGUUCACAAUCCAUAAUUAUCUGCUUCUUUGAAAAUGUUUGCUAAAAUUGUAGUUUUGGAACAGAUUAAAGUUCAAAUCUUACAUGUACAUGAAAUAAUUCAUUUGCCCAAACACCCCAAUUUUAGACAUUACUUGCAAAUGAAAAUUACAUCCCACAUGAUUUUAGUAUUAGCUUUUAUAUGAGCACUAAAUAUAAAAUGGUAGUCUGACCUUUAAGAAAAACUGUAUCUAAUAACAAAAUUAAAGAACAGGUUUAAAGAUUUGGUCACUAGUCUUUAUAAAAGGGAAAAAAGAAAACAAAAUCCCUUGCAGUCACAUUCUAUCAUUCUCUUUCAACUAUUCUUUUAGGUUUCUUUCCACUAUAUUUAAUUUUAUUUCAUUAUAUGCAGGAAGGCUAAUAACCAACCAUUUUGAUUCUGUUCAUUUUCCCCCAUUUAGACCAUUUUUCUUACCCUGAUUCAUUUUGUAACCAAAUUCAUUUUAAUUUAAUUUGUUUCAUUAAAGCUAAGGUUUUCCAAUUUUUGAAAUGUAAGAGAGACUAAACAGAGUUACUUUAUCUUGCUAGGUCCAAAGGUCUUGCAUAAUACUCAGAUUUCAAUAGUAGUAUGUAAAUAGCAUGUAUUUUUUUCUCUUGUGGAAAAAGGUGAAUUGGAUUAUUCCAUCAAAUUUUACAUUUUCUAACAAUACUGAUCUUUUCAAAAUCCUGUUUCCGUAAGUGUCAUUUUCCCCUAUGCUCCAGAGAAACUGUCAAAAAAUUAUGGGAAACAAAACCAAAACACUUCUUUCACCAGAAAAUUUUCAUAAAGAAAAUAUCAGAAUGAGAUUGAAGUUCUGAAUCAACAUAUUUCAGGGUUUUACUUAUUUUCUUCUUAUUUGGAUGUGAGUAAUGACGUAGAGAUAGAGAAUUUAUUAUUCUUAGACUCCUGUCUUACCUGGACAAGUUGUUCCUUGAGUAUUUUUUUAUGUUAUAUGACACAUUAGUAUUUCACUACAUUGCCAUCUUCAUUCUUCUCAGAAGCUCAGAGGAAGAGAAAAGAAGCACUCUCAUUUCUCUUCUCCUUUUCUGCAGAUAUUUCUGCAGAUAUAGGCUUGAUAUUUUAGCAACGAGGACCUUAACUUUGCUUCUGAUGACUGCUGGCAAAAGACCCUAGAUAAACAUGCAUAAUAGUCAGCCAGACAGAAAAAUAACCAUUGUGGGCAACAAAAUAAUAGGUGGAACAAAAAAAGGAUUGGGGUUAGCCAUAGCUCUGGUCAUCUGCCUGCUACAUGCAUUGGUUUCUUAAAUGCCCAAAAAAGGUGGUGUCAAAAUUUUAAUUUAGAUUAAGAACAUGACUUAGUAAGUGUAACAGAUUUAGAGAAAUGAUUCACAUGAAAAGGAUGUAACAUCAAAUGCUGCAAACUAUUGGGGAAGGAUAGUGUUAAAAGAGAGAAGCUAUUCCCCACUGUAUCAAGGAUGUGAUUUCAUUCUGAAGUCCAAUAUGCAGAGGAAUUUAGAAGUGAAGAAAGCCUGAGUAAUAACAAAAAGAAGGCACUAAUGCAGCUGGCAAUGUGCUGGGGAUCUACUAUAAACCUUGGAACAGGAAUUAGCUGAACAAGGCUUACUGGUUCUUUCCAACACAGCAUAGUAAUGUUAAUUAAGAAACUGCAUCUUUGGGUUGUGUAACUACAGAACCAGUCUCAAGAUAAAUAGAUACCUUAUUUAUUUAGCUCUCUAUGUUGUUAAAUUAUUUAAUGAACCUUAUUAUUGGUGUUAGAUGAAUAUGAAUUAAUAUACAUUGUAUUCUUGUGACUUUAUAAAUGUGGCAUAUGUUCAAAGCAUGUUCAAUCUAAAGCAUUGCUUCUUUUAGGGCAGCAGACCCCAGUAUGUGGAUGACUGACUUACAUUUAUUUACUAAAUCUACUAGAUAGGGAUUUUUCUUGCCUUAAUACUGAAGUACACAACUCCCAUUUCCCUGACAAACAGUCUCUGAUACUUCAAAAACCUUAGGACUGCCUGACUCAUUCUCUUCUUGUUAAAAGAGACUUAACUACAGGGGCAUCUGCCAGAAGACAAAAUAAGGAAUAGAAUCUAUCUAGCAAGUUCUUGUUACUCAUCAGUGGCAACUUGAUAUUAAAAAACAAACAAACAAAAACAAAAGAAAAAACAGAGAAAAACAAUCUAGUUGAAAAGAGCUGGUUUAGGACAUGAAGGUGAGGGCAAGACAGAGGUGAGACCCUUGGAUAGGAGAUAAAAAAAUAACAAAACAGCAGAUAUCAUCAAGGAACAUCCAGAGAAUGCAAAUGAAAAUAAUCUCCUUCAAAGAUAAAAGAUAUGGAACAAUGGUCAUACUGUUGAAUAGAUUACAAAACUGAACAAGCAUCAAGAAGGUGAUGCUAUAAUAAACAAACAAAUAAAUAAGGAGUACUGUCUGUGGAAAACAUAAAAUAAUGCGUAGGGUUUACUACAGAAGAUUCUAAGACAUUGGUCAGUCAUAUAUAAGAAUACUGUGUUCAGCCUGGGGAAUCCCAGUUUGGGAGAGGCAUAGAUUGAAGAGAAAAAUAAGAGGAGGAAUAGAGGAAUAAGAAUGAAGACAUGCAGAAAAAGUGUAAUCUCAGAUGAGAGACCAAAAAAACCAAUAAAAAUAAACUUGAUCUAACUUGAUCUACGUAGGAAUAGACUGAAGGGAAUCAGGAAAAGCCAUCAUAACAGCUUUCAUCAUAAAAGCUCCUCCAAAGAAAAAGUGUUACCUGUGGCCUUCCUGAAUGGUCCUUUAGAGAUAUGAGGUUUUCCAUGUCUAUGACAGAUAGAACAGGAUUAAACUAUAGCAAAGGUAAUUCAGAUUACAUAAAUAAAAAGUCAUCAUAGCAGUAAAACCCUUGCAUUCAUUUCUUGGAAAUAUCAUAACAAUGCUAGAGGAAUA